UUUCCGUAGGUGAACCUGCGGAAGGAUCAUUAAAAAAUUGGACUCCAUUGGUGAGUUCAUUAAUAAUCCUACCCUUUGUGAAUUUGUUUGUUUGAAUAAUUUUUUUUCCAAAAAAAAAUUAUUGAAUGUCUUUCCCUGUUUUGGUGGAGCUUGUAAAGUGAAACCAGGCAGGGGAAUGGCAAACAAUAAUUAUUUUUUGAAAAAAGACCUUUUUUAAAAUUAAACUUUUUGUAUUCAUUUGUCUAAAAUUAUUUUUAUAAUAUAAAAACAACUUUUGACAAUGGAUCUCUUGGUUCUCGCAACGAUGAAGAACGCAGCAAAAUGCGAUAAGUAGUGCGAAUUGCAGAAUACGUGAAUCAUCGAAUCUUCGAACGCAUAUUGCACUUUUUUAGUUUACUAAAAAAGUAUGUCUGUUUGAGUAUCAGUAAAAUAUUCUCAUAAAAAAUUUAUUUUUUAUGGUUAUGAGUGUUUUACAACGAUAACAAGUUGUUUCACUUUAAAUUCUUUGUUAUCAAAAAAAUCAUUAAAAGCUAAUUUUAAAGAUUUUUUAAAAUUGGAUAAAAUUUUCCCGUAAAAAGGAAUAACCUAAACAAUUUUAAAAAAUUAAAAUUGGUUUGAUUUUUCUUGAUAACAAAGGAAAAAAAACGAAAUUAACUUGAUCUCAAAUCAGAUAAGAGUACCCGCUGAACUUAAGCAUAUCAAUAAGCGGAGGAAAAGAAACUAACUAGGAUUCCCUCAGUAACGGCGAGUGAAGCGGGAAGAGCUCAAAUUUGAAAUCUUCAAGGUUUUACCUUGACGAAUUGUAGUUUAAAGAAGUGUUUUCCGUUGGAGUUUUGGUAAAAGUUCUUUGGAAAAGGACAUCAUAGAGGGUGAGAAUCCCGUAUUUGACCAUUAUCUCCAGCUUUGUGAUACACUUUCAAAGAGUCGGAUUGUUUGGGAAUGCAGUCCAAAAUGGGUGGUAAAUUUCAUCUAAAGCUAAAUACUGGCGAGAGACCGAUAGCGAACAAGUACCGUGAGGGAAAGAUGAAAAGAACUUUGAAAAGAGAGUUAAACAGUACGUGAAAUUGUCAAAAGGGAAGCGUUUGACACCAGUGUUGUUUUCUCGAAAAUCAAUUAAAAAAGGCCGGAUUUUGUGUUGUAUUGACUUUAUCAGCUUUCUGCACUUUUUUCUUGUCUUUUUUAAUGCACUUUUCGUUCAACAAGUCAACAUCAAUUUCUUUUGUUGUAAAAGGGUCAUUGGAAGGUGGCUUUCUUUUCGGAGAAAGUGUUUAUAGCCUUUGGCCUCUGCAAUCGGAGAGAUUGAGGUCUGCAGCGUAGAUCCUUCGGGGUUAGAUACAUUUGUGCUAAGUUAUAGCCUUUCAUAGACAACUUGUUGACUAUGAUCAGUCAUGUAGCUUACUCGCUUAUGCUAUUU
rnacentral:misc_RNA from 1 species